GGGGAUGGAGAGGUGGGAUGAGAGGGAACAACUGGAUGGACAAACCCCUGAUGUGCUGCUUGCCUAUUCUACCCUCAAUUGUGAUCAGGGGAAAAAGCCCUCAAUACAUCAGAGGGAAACAAGAAAAUGCCUCCUGGCUGCAGAAAUCCUGAGUGUGCAGGGAAGGGACUGCUCCAGCUGUGUUUGCAGCUCUUCCCAGUGCCAUGGGAACCUCCAGGAAACCUCAGGCACCAGAGGAGGCCAAGCAAAGGAAGAUCUCAGCAGCACCACAGGGCUUGGAGCACCAGGCCAAAUGCCCUGGACGUGCCUCAUUUUAUCAGGAGGGCUUUUGGCAGCACCCAAACCCCAGGAAGGUGCUUGCUGCACCUGAUUUUGGUUGUUGCCUGAUUUUAUUUCUUGUCAGUAAGAGCCAGAAAUGCAACCAGAACCAUCCCCAGACAAAGAAUCCUGGAGGAUUUGCUCCAGACCUUCUCCCUGGAAGCCUUUUCCACACAAAUCCAGAGGCUGCUGCCAAAAUCUCUCUUGGCUUUGCCUUUGCACAUCCAGGGCUUGAAGCUCCUCCUGUUCCCUGUCCCAAACUGCUCCACUCCAGAG